rnacentral:misc_RNA from 1 species
CCUAGAGUUGCGGGCUUUGGCCUGCCCAUCUCUUACCCAUGUCUUUUGAGCACCUUCGUUUCCUCGGCGGGUCCGCCCCGCCGUCAGGACACUUUAAAAACCACUUGCAGUUGCAAUCGGGCGUCUGAAAAAACCUUUAAUAGUUA